rnacentral:rRNA from 1 species
GUGCCAGCAGCCGGUAAUACCGGCAGCCCAAGUGAUGGCCGAUCUUAUUGGGCCUAAAGCGUCCGUAGCUGGCCGCGCAAGUCCAGCGGAAAAUCCACCCGCCCAACGGGUGGGCGUCCGGUGGAAACUGCGUGGCUUGGGACCGGAAGGCGCGACGGGUACGUCGGGGGUAGGAGUGAAAUCCCGAGAUCCUCGACGGACCGCCGGUGGCGAAAGCGCCUCGGGAAGAUGGAUCCGACGGUCAGGGACGAAAGCUUGGGUCUCGAACCGGAUUAGAUACCCGAGUAGUCC